UACGUAGGGUGCAAGCGUUAUCCGGAUUUAUUGGGCGUAAAGCGUUCGUAGGUGGAUUGUAAAGUGUUAUGUUAAAGCCCGUGGCUCAACUGCGGACUGGCAUGACAUACUCACAAUCUAGAGGGUGUUCGGGGAGACUAGAAUUCUCGGUGGAGGGGUGAAAUCCGUUGAUAUCGAGAGGAAUGCCAAGGGCGAAAGCAGGUCUCUAGGGCACAUCUGACACUCAGGGACGAAAGCUAGGGUAGCAAACCGG
rnacentral:rRNA from 1 species